UAUAUCCAGCCAGAGAGGCUAGAAGGCAGAUCUUCUGCUCCCUCAGCUAGGGUGUAUAUGCAAAGCACCAGACUGAAGGAGCAUCUAUAUUACUGCUGCUCAAAGCAGCAGAGACUCUGUCAUACAUAAUACAGAGACAUCAUUACUAAUAUAAAACACUGCUGGGGAGAAGGGACACAUGGGCGGGCCAAGAUGGCAGAUGGCUUUUAGCAGCAUGCUGCUUUCAGUCCUUCUACCUUUGUAAUUUGUGCAAUUUAAAGCCUUUGGUUACUGUUUUUAGUCUGCUGUCCGUUGGCCCUGGUGGGAGUUUUUGUUGUUGUGCAAGAGUGCAGUGUAUUUUUAGUGAGGGCCACAGCCAAUAGUAUGUGCUGUGUUCUCCUGGCGACUGGUGUUACAAAGGCAGGCUAGUCAAGAAUAGCUUUUAUGAUCAGCUGGUUUGCUGAAGAAUUGAUGAAAAUAGCAGUUGUCUUGGCUAUAUAACCUCUGCUCUGCUGUACUGCAGGAUUUUGUGGUUGCUCUUUAAGGCACUGAUAUUGAGCUAGAAAGCUUUUUGGCAGCCAAAGAGGGAGGAUGGAAUUAAGAAAUACCUCAAAGAGAGGCAGUUUGUAAGUGGGGAUAGGGAUCUAUGGGAAUAGCUUCCCUGAUUUGCAUAGCGAUGGUAGAAUUCUUUGUGGGGGUGAGGAAAGUUGAAGGAGCCAAGUGGCUCUUCCUGUGCUUCAGGAAUGGUGUUCAGGAAAUCUGAGGUUACUUCUGGCCCUGUUGUGUGGGCCAAAGUCACACAGGCUCCUUCAGCCUCAGCCUCCCAUCUGUAAAGUGAGAAUAACAUUUUGCUAUUUGAAAAGGCAUCAAGUCAUUCUCCAUCCCUUCACUGAGACUCCCUCAUGGAUGAUGCUGGAGGAGGGCAAGGCGCUGGAAUACUUGGUGUCAGUGAUAGUUCCAAUGGGUAAGCCUGUGAAUGCUCUGUGCAUAGCUGAGGAAAGUUUACCUUCCUUUGCACAGGGGCAAUCACAGCCAUAAAUUCAGCCCUUCAGAUCAGUGCCUGCAGGCAGAUGCAGCAAACGAGGUUGACUCAUUUCCUAUCCCCAAACUCCUUUUUGGCUCACUUCAGAACCAUAAAAUUUAGCAUCUUAUGUGGAGUGGGCUGCUCUCCUCUAGCUGCUACAGUGGAUUUAAUUCUUCAGGUGGCUGAACUGCCUUGCUGUGGCUUGGCCUAAAAGUGGAAGCACAGGAGAGCUUUGAAGGAACCCACUGCAAAUGGGAGAAGCAGGAAAUGGUGGAAAUCUCAUAAGGCACCUUUUUUCUUGUGGAUAGAUACCUGCUUUAAUUUCUAGACUGAAGAAACGGAAAGAAGCAACCCUUCUUUCAAGUUCAAGUUUUCAUGGAUGCUUCUGAACUAGAAAGAAGCCCAAGAUGCAAAGCCUGAAAUUUCUCUGUUUUUCCUGCUUUUUCACAACCCUUCUCAAUUUUCUGAUGCUUUGCUUCCGUAUCUCAGUAUUUGUUCCUUUGUUUGCUGAGACCCUGUCUAAUUAAGCAGGUAAAACCAGCCCUGCUAAGCCCAAGCUUUAUUGUGCUGCAAUAAGUACCAGAUAAAUUCCUAAAAUAAGUUUAGGAAUUUCCUACAUAUGCUUUUGGAUUAAUUUUUAGAUUCCCGCUUCCUGUAUUUUUAUCCAUUUCCCUAUGCUCUGAAACAUACAUUGUAACUGGAUUUUUUUAUCAGAAUUUGAGUGAACAUGAAGCAUGAAUGUAAUAGCCUAUUUUCAACUCUAUUUUCAGGAGCUGUUUUCAUUCACAAUGCGUACAGUAGCUAUAAAAAGACAUAUUAUAUUUUCAAGGUCUGUCACAUUAUUUACAAUGUGAGAGCAUAAAAACCUCUCUGAUGUUUCCUGAUAAACAGUCAGAGCCAGUAGCACAGCUGAACAACAGGUUAGGUACAUCAGGUGCACCACCAACGUCAGGUGGAGUAAAGAAGCCAAGGGUAUAGGAACACAUGCUUUCUAGAGGACAAGGGUGUACUCUGAUAGCUGCACUUUCAAAUGCUGGAGCAUGUGGGUUAACACAAAUGUUUCUGGUGUUUUGUGGCUUAGCACUGCUACCUUCCAGGCAGGCAGUCAUCUAAGCAAACUUUCCACAUGGGUGGCUGCUGAAAAACACAAUGCCCCUUACCCUGGGGUGAAUCCUAGUUUCGUUAAAGUCAAUGACAAAGCUGCCUUUGACUUCAGUGGGGUCAGGACUGGUGAUGUCUAUUUUCCAUUCAAGCUUUGGAUUGGAGAUAUGCAGUAAAAAUAGGCUUCCACUCAGGGGGUGGAAAUUCUCCAUGGGUUUGCAGAUCUUUCUCCUUUAUGGCCUCAGAUUUUUCACCUUUAUGGCCAAAGAGGGUUUAUUUUCCUUUGUAUCUAGUGUGCCAAUAGAAGAAAUUACUGUCCUUCUUCUCAAAGAUUGCUUCUUCCUGACUCUUUAAAUUGAUUAAGGGAAAAUUAGCCAGGUUAGUUUAUACAACCAGAAAUUGUGCUUUCAGAUGGGAUAUUUGACCUCAAGUGAAUUGGGGAGUGCUCACAGAUGCUAUGUAGCCCUCAUCAGGGUAAAGCAAAAAACAGGAGGUAAACAGUUGGGUGUGAGUGUUAAACCCUGGGUUAGGAAAAGGCCAUGUGCACAUGGUUUAGGUCAUUAGAAGAGUGUGGCUCCUUCAUAUGCUUGAUGUGGCUAAAGGGCACUACCUGCCAGAGCUGUGUGCCCAUGAAGUGAAGGUUUGUCAAUUGUUAAAUUUAAUUAACAGCAGUUUUGAAAAAGAAGAAAAAAAGAAGUGGAAGGAUGAAAUGCUGGAUGAAAGAGGACAAAGGCUAGGAACCGUGACUGCAAAGCUAGAAUCAGCUGUCAGAUGGAAGAGGAAAGGAUGGCCAUAAGUGCCUUUGGAAGCUGGGACAGGGGGCUACAGGGGUAGAAGACCUUCUUGGAGCAAAGACAAUUUGUGCAAACCCAGAGCCUGCAGUGGCACCCGUAGUUGAUGUGGUCGUUACAGUUCUGAUUUUGUUAUGGAGGUUGCCUAGCCUUUGAGAUUGUCUUCAUUUCUGUAUGCAGAAGAAAGAAAUAUUGCACGUGUGUGUGACAAGCUAAUAGUUAUUUGGUUUGGGGUUGUGGCUGGAUCUUAGGCUCAAAUUCUUGUUGUGAUUCGGUCUCUAUAUUACUCUAUGGCCUUGAAGCAGGCCUUAUCCAUUCCACCUCAGUAUCCCACCAGUAGAGCUGAUGCUAAUUUCAUGAAUCAGUAAAUGUUUGGAAAAGUCUGACUCUCCUUAAGCAUUAAAUAUCAAUCUCAAGGUGACUGCCUCAGCCCUUAGUUUGGAAUAUGUUAGAAGCUGGAGUAGACUACAAAUAUCUGUUUCACCGUGGAGGCCCAUGGCGUAUUUGGAGGGCUGUAGGUAUGAAGAGCAGGCCUUUCUGCUGGGAAAGAUGCAGCUACCUCCUGCAUCCCAGGAAGGAACUGCAAGACAGUCUUGCCAAACUGAGGGCAUGCUCUACUUGAACUACAGCGGGUCUCCCCACAUGCUGUGGAUCUCUAACCUGUGGCUCAUCCAAGAUCCCAUCUGGCAGCCAGUUCCAUGCCACUCUGUGCCGAGGCUGAAAAAGGAGAGCUCUUUGUCCUCUGUGUUCUCAAAUGGGUGCUGCCCACCAAAUCUCAACACCUCCAAAGCUCACUUGUGUAUGGAGCCGCCCCUAAGCCUGAGCUACACACCCAGCUGCUUCCUCUAGCCUGCAAUAAUGAAUUUUCAUUGCUGUGGAAUUUAGAUAGGAAUUGCUCUGAUUCUAAAGCUCAUUGGUCACUAAUAAUAAUAACAAUGAAAAGAGCCAUUUCUUAAGGACUAAAAACUAAUCAGCGAAUGUGUAGUUUCUGUGUCUCCUGCAGGUUCUUGUCUUGUGGGGCUGCCAGACUGCCUGUGUCACAUGUCUGCCUGUCUGAUUUCCGACUCAAGCUUUUCAUUUCCUAAAUGAUAACGGAUAAAAGAUGAAAUCUGGCACACACAGAUAUUUAAUUCUACUAUAAAAGCGUAGAAAAGUGAG